GUCGGGAUAGCUCAGUUGGUAGAGCAGAGGACUGAAAAUCCUCGUGUAC
rnacentral:tRNA from 2 species